AGAGUUUGAUCCUGGCUCAGAUUGAACGCUGGCGGCAUGCCUUACACAUGCAAGUCGAACGGCAGCGCGGGGCAACCUGGCGGCGAGUGGCGAACGGGUGAGUAAUAUAUCGGAACGUACCCUGGAGUGGGGGAUAACGUAGCGAAAGUUACGCUAAUACCGCAUACGAUCUAAGGAUGAAAGUGGGGGAUCGCAAGACCUCAUGCUCCUGGAGCGGCCGAUAUCUGAUUAGCUAGUUGGCGGGGUAAAAGCCCACCAAGGCAACGAUCAGUAGCUGGUCUGAGAGGACGACCAGCCACACUGGAACUGAGACACGGUCCAGACUCCUACGGGAGGCAGCAGUGGGGAAUUUUGGACAAUGGGCGCAAGCCUGAUAAGAGCAAUGCCGCGUGAGUGAAGAAGGCCUU
rnacentral:rRNA from 1 species